rnacentral:lncRNA from 1 species
UGUUUCUUUUUUUCAAGAAAAAGUUUGUAAGCUGUGCUUUGAUCAUCAGAAUUUUAUAGUCUUGGUUCAGAAUCAAGUACAAAUCAAUGAAAAAUGGGGAAAGGAAAGAAAGGUACAGUUGUCUUAACUUACU